UUUUUUUUGAGAUGGAGUCUCACUCUGUCGUCCAGGCUGGAGUGCAGUGGUGCGACCUCGGCUCACUGCAACGUCCGCCUCCCGGGUUCACGCCAUUCUCCUACCUCAGCCUCCCGAGUAGCUGGGACUACAGGCGCCCGCCACCUCUCCCGGCUAAUUUUUAUUUUUAGUAGAGACGGGGUUUCACCGUGGUCUCGAUCUCCUGACCUCGCGAUCCGCCCACCUCGGCCUCCCAAAGUGCUGGGAUUACAAGCGUGA
rnacentral:lncRNA from 1 species